rnacentral:rRNA from 1 species
GAGGCCUAACACAUGCAAGCCGAGCGGUAUUUGUUCUUCGGAACAGAGAGAGCGGCGUACGGGUGCGGAACACGUGUGCAACCUGCCUUUAUCUGGGGGAUAGCCUUUCGAAAGGAAGAUUAAUACCCCAUAAUAUAUUUUACGGCAUCGUGGAAUAUUGAAAACUCCGGUGGAUAGAGAUGGGCACGCGCAAGAUUAGAUAGUUGGUGAGGUAACGGCUCACCAAGUCAGUGAUCUUUAGGGGGCCUGAGAGGGUGAUCCCCCACACUGGUACUGAGACACGGACCAGACUCCUACGGGAGGCAGCAGUGAGGAAUAUUGGACAAUGGGUGAGAGCCUGAUCCAGCCAUCCCGCGUGAAGGACUAAGGCCCUAUGGGUUGUAAACUUCUUUUAUACUGGGAUAAACCUACUUACGUGUAAGUAGCUGAAGGUACAGUAUGAAUAAGCACCGGCUAACUCCGUGCCAGCAGCCGCGGUAAUACGGAGGGUGCAAGCGUUAUCCGGAUUUAUUGGGUUUAAAGGGUCCGUAGGCGGAUCUGUAAGUCAGUGGUGAAAUCUCAUAGCUUAACUAUGAAACUGCCAUUGAUACUGCAGGUCUUGAGUGAGAUUGAGGUAGCUGGAAUAAGUAGUGUAGCGGUGAAAUGCAUAGAUAUUACUUAGAACACCAAUUGCGAAGGCAGGUUACCAAGUCUUAACUGACGCUGAUGGACGAAAGCGUGGGGAGCGAACAGGAUUAGAUACCCUGGUAGUCCACGCCGUAAACGAUGCUAACUCGUUUUU